ACUCCUACGGGAGGCAGCAGUGGGGAAUCUUGGACAAUGGGCGCAAGCCUGAUCCAGCCAUGCCGCGUGAGUGAUGAAGGCCCUAGGGUCGUAAAGCUCUUUCGCCAGGGAUGAUAAUGACAGUACCUGGUAAAGAAACCCCGGCUAACUCCGUGCCAGCAGCCGCGGUAAUACGGAGGGGGUUAGCGUUGUUCGGAAUUACUGGGGCGUAAAGCGCGCGUAGGCGGACUGGAAAGUUGGGGGUGAAAUCCCGGGGCUCAACCCCGGAACUGCCUCCAAAACUCCCAGUCUUGAGUUCGAGAGAGGUGAGUGGAAUUCCGAGUGUAGAGGUGAAAUUCGUAGAUAUUCGGAGGAACACCAGUGGCGAAGGCGGCUCACUGGCUCGAUACUGACGCUGAGGUGCGAAAGUGUGGGGAGCAAACAGGAUUAGAUACCCUGGUAGCGACUGA
rnacentral:rRNA from 1 species